GACGAACGCUGGCGGCGUGCUUAACACAUGCGAGUCGAGCGGAAAGGCCCUGCUUUUGUGGGGUGCUCGAGUGGCGAACGGGUGAGUAACACGUGAGUAACCUGCCCUUGACUUUGGGAUAACUUCAGGAAACUGGGGCUAAUACCGGAUAGGAGCUCCUGCUGCAUGGUGGGGGUUGGAAAGUUUCGGCGGUUGGGGAUGGACUCGCGGCUUAUCAGCUUGUUGGUGGGGUAGUGGCUUACCAAGGCUUUGACGGGUAGCCGGCCUGAGAGGGUGACCGGCCACAUUGGGACUGAGAUACGGCCCAGACUCCUACGGGAGGCAGCAGUGGGGAAUAUUGCACAAUGGGCGGAAGCCUGAUGCAGCAACGCCGCGUGCGGGAUGACGGCCUUCGGGUUGUAAACCGCUUUCGCCUGUGACGAAGCGUGAGUGACGGUAAUGGGUAAAGAAGCACCGGCUAACUACGUG
rnacentral:rRNA from 1 species